rnacentral:rRNA from 1 species
CUACGGGAGGCAGCAGUGGGGAAUAUUGCACAAUGGGCGGAAGCCUGAUGCAGCAACGCCGCGUGCGGGAUGACGGCCUUCGGGUUGUAAACCGCUUUCGCCUGUGACGAAGCGUGAGUGACGGUAAUGGGUAAAGAAGCACCGGCUAACUACGUGCCAGCAGCCGCGGUGAUACGUAGGGUGCGAGCGUUGUCCGGAUUUAUUGGGCGUAAAGGGCUCGUAGGUGGUUGAUCGCGUCGGAAGUGUAAUCUUGGGGCUUAACCCUGAGCGUGCUUUCGAUACGGGUUGACUUGAGGAAGGUAGGGGAGAAUGGAAUUCCUGGUGGAGCGGUGGAAUGCGCAGAUAUCAGGAGGAACACCAGUGGCGAAGGCGGUUCUCUGGGCCUUUCCUGACGCUGAGGAGCGAAAGCGUGGGGAGCGAACAGGCUUAGAUACCCUGGUAGUCCACGCUGUAAACGGUGGGUACUAGGUGUGGGGUCCAUUCCACGGGUUCCGUGCCGUAGCUAACGCUUUAAGUACCCCGCCUGGGGAGUACGGCCGCAAGGCUAAAACUCAAAGGAAUUGACGGGGGCCCGCACAAG